rnacentral:rRNA from 1 species
UACGUAGGGCGCAAGCGUUGUCCGGAAUUAUUGGGCGUAAAGAGCUCGUAGGCGGCUUGUCACGUCGGAUGUGAAAGCCCGUUGCUUAACGGCGGGUUGGCUUUCGGUACGGGCAUGCUGGAGUGCGGCAGGGGAGACUGGAAUUCCUGGUGUAGCGGUGGAAUGCGCAGAUAUCAGGAGGAACACCGGUGGCGAAGGCGGGUCUCUGGGCCGUUACUGACGCUGAGGAGCGAAAGCGUGGGGAGCGAACAGG